rnacentral:lncRNA from 1 species
GGCAUCUGACAUCUAACGUUUUAUCCAUUACUUUUACUCAUGUAAAGCAUGAGGCGAAUUUUCUUACGGAUUCUCUAGCUAAGUCUGGACAUGAUCAUGAUGCAAGAGUCUUGAUUUUGGGUCUUAUUAUGUAAUUUCUUUUCUCAUUUGAAGAAGAGGGGGAAAAAAAAAAAAAACACACAAAACCAAUGCUUGAGGCUACUUUUGCUAAAAUUGAAAACACUGUUACACAUGUAAACUAUUGAGUUAAGAUUAUGUUAAAUCGGGUGUAAUACAUUUUACAUAGCAAAACUGGAACCUCCUUUUUUAUUUCUUUACCAAAAAAAAAAUAGAGAAGUGAGGUAUUACACCUACUGUUAUUUCAUCGUAUAAUAUUGUGCAAGUCCUAAUUGAGCUAACAACCAAACCAAAGCUUAAGGUUGGAGAUAUAUAUUCCAUUUAAUCUCAAAAGACAUGGUAAUGUCUUUGAUGUCAUACCAUAUACAGUGAGAAAAUUAUUUCUCACCCACCACCUCAACCAUUUACCAUCAAUUGGUCAAACAUCCAAAUUUUAUUCAAUAAUAAGAAUUAUUAUUCCAUAUAUAACAUCAUUUCAUAUCACUAUUUCACCAAAAAUACCCUUAGAAAUUAAUCCCCAUCAAAUGUCACAAUAAUGAUCAUAACCACCCAUCACCCGCAAUUGCAACAUGUUAGUUUGAUUUAUAUUGUUGCAUAUGUAAUUCCAGCGUUUACCCACAUUAUGCAUAAAAUGAAAUGAACUGUUUGCCACUUCAGACAAUCCAAAACAAAUGACGAAUCAAUCGAUCUACAAAACUCCUAUCUAAGUAUCAAGGGAGCGAAUUCCUCUUAUGCGAGAAUGUAGGAGAUAAAGAUACCAAACAAUAUGAUAUCCGGCUCUCUUAUCAAAUGUUUAACUUUUUUGUUUUGUUUUUCAACACAAGGCGAAUUUCAUCCUAUCACCACAAGCUACAAAGUAAAUGAGAUGGUAAAAAUAAUAACGAACAUGUAAAGAGAAAUUUUAAAUACACACGUCUAAUAUCUUAAUACACACCUCUAUUAUUUUAUAUUUCACAU